AGUUAAUGAACUUGUUAAGUGUAUAUUUUGAAAGUAUAAAAAAGAGUAAAUCCUCUAUUAACUU
rnacentral:tRNA from 1 species